AUUGAUUUACACCUCCUAUCAAGGUUGUUUUUCUCCCAGAUCAAGUGCCCUGCAGAUCAAGUGCCCUGCAGAUCAAGUGCCCUGCAGAUCUUGCUACAAUGCAGAAUCCGACCCAGUAGGUCUGAGCUCCAGAGAGAGCCAUCCUGAUGGAAACUACUGAACAUGGGGACACAAAAGAAAAGAGGGAGGAGAUGAAAGAAGGUGAGGGUCUCUAUUGCCAGCAGAACUGGACUGUGUGUUUAACUGGAAAGCUGAUGGGAAAUGUAGUUAUGCACAGCUCUCUGGACCCUUCUAGUGAAAUAAAGAACUAGUUAAAUAAGGCAAGACAGAAGAAUGAGGCUGCCAUCUAGAGGUAGUAACAGGUAAUGUUCCAGGGCACAAGGGAGCCAAAGGCAGAGAGUUUCUUCACUUUUUAUUCUCUGCAGUCUUCAUACCUAAUAAUGAUCUCAUUCCUCUAUAUUAGUCAAGAUCUUC
rnacentral:lncRNA from 1 species